rnacentral:tRNA from 1 species
ACCGGCGUAGCUCAGUCGGUAGAGCAGGGGAUUGAAAAUCCCCGUGUCCUUGGUUCGAUUCCGAGUCCGGGCACCA